GGUAUUAUAGCUCAGUUGGUAAGAGCGCUGGUCUGAAAAACCAGAGGUCCUUAGUUCAAGUCUAAGUAAUACCA
rnacentral:tRNA from 1 species